rnacentral:rRNA from 1 species
GAUGAACGCUGGCGGCGUGCCUAAUACAUGCAAGUCGAGCGAACAGACGAGGAGCUUGCUCCUCUGACGUUAGCGGCGGACGGGUGAGUAACACGUGGAUAACCUACCUAUAAGACUGGGAUAACUUCGGGAAACCGGAGCUAAUACCGGAUAAUAUAUUGAACCGCAUGGUUCAAUAGUGAAAGACGGUUUUGCUGUCACUUAUAGAUGGAUCCGCGCCGCAUUAGCUAGUUGGUAAGGUAACGGCUUACCAAGGCAACGAUGCGUAGCCGACCUGAGAGGGUGAUCGGCCACACUGGAACUGAGACACGGUCCAGACUCCUACGGGGGGCAGCAGUAGGGAAUCUUCCGCAAGGGGCGAAAGCCUGACGGAGCAACGCCGCGUGAGUGAUGAAGGUCUUCGGAUCGUAAAACUCUGUUAUUAGGGAAGAACAAAUGUGUAAGUAACUAUGCACGUCUUGACGGUACCUAAUCAGAAAGCCACGGCUAACUACGUG